rnacentral:rRNA from 1 species
AUUGCACAAUGGGGGAAACCCUGAUGCAGCGACGCCGCGUGAGUGAAGAAGUAUUUCGGUAUGUAAAGCUCUAUCAGCAGGGAAGAAAGUGACGGUACCUGAAUAAGAAGCCCCGGCUAACUACGUGCCAGCAGCCGCGGUAAUA